UAAAUUAGAGGUAGACGUAAAGCACGUUUUUAUAAUUUUGCCGACGAACACUGUUCAGACUAUCGGCAGACCUGAUUUCUUACCUCGAAAAGAAGGUUGUCGGCAGAGGAAAGGAGCGGUGUGAGGUUCCAGUGUUUUUUUUUACAAACAAUUUCUGGCUUGAAGAAAAGUGCUGGUCGGAAAUAACUUCUUCUCCCGAAUAUUAGGUGAGCAAAGUAGGAUUGUGAUAGCCAUAGCUUCAUGACCGAUCUAACUCGCUUUGAUAAUUAAAGAAGGGUUCAGCCCCCAAGCUCUUGCGUUUGAGUGGUAAAGCAGCAGAACCUCGAGGGCGUAAAAAUACCGAGCGACUUUGGUGAAAAGUCUGCAACCUGAAGUUUGGUGUGAAUUCUGGAUUUUAGCAUUCUGUAAAGAUUGGAAAUUGGAUUCCAUUUUAUAGGGGUUAAUAUUCGACAGGACAUAUUGCAGUAACUGAUUUAGUAUCAAAGCACCAAUUUUGCAGAGAGCUCAGCGCGUUAUGAGAAACCGUUUCCUAUCCACUCCGGGGUUUGGACUCGUGCGAAGACUGUGAAAACAGUUCCGCAGAGAAUAAGUGAUCAUCAGUGAAACACUGUAUAAACAUGGCCCCUGGUGGGAAUUGAUUCAUUUAAUCAUAUUACAUUCCUCGUGGAAUCUGGUCCGAUUAUAGCUCUGAAAAGUGCCGAUUGGUGGGCAAAAGUCUCUUGGGACUGAACGUGAAAGUUAAAAGGACAAUCGAAAUCUCAGGUGCUGGACUGCACUGAGUAAGCUGCGUUAACCCCAUAAAUAGUGCCUCAUUUGCGUCGUCUGCUUUGAUGACCAUAAGGGAAAGGCUUGCGAGGAAAGAUCAGACAAGAAAAUAAAUCGGUUCCGUUUCUUUAUCAGUCCGAUCCAGCGUUAUCAUCUGGAAUCCCUCUAUCCCUGACAGCACACAGCGACUAAUUGUAACACAAUCUACCUGUCAUUCCCAAACCCCUCUGCUGGACUUGCCAGGAAGCCGGGACCGCGCAUGUGACACUUUUUUUUGCCUUAUUUCCCAGGAGUAGAAAUAACCAGAGGGAGAGAGGGGAGGGGGGAAAAGUCUCACGGACUGCAUUGCAUUUUGCCGGCAAUUUUAACUCCAUGGUGUCACUGAGCUCCAUUUGAAACCUCGCUACUGAUUGCAUCCUAUACACCCCCUGAUUUGUCACCCAACCCGCCUGCACACCAAAGCAUCCUCUUUGGUUUCGCUGCCGUGCUUCCUAGACUCGUGUCACGCCAGCGGGUGAAGGUGGAAAAAGGAGGCGUGCGUGCACGUGACUGACUGCAGGAGGGACUGAGGGAGGGUUGGGGCAGCCGUGCGGGCUGGUUAGAGGGCGACAGGGGAGGCUGCAACAGGUGCUGUUCAAAGCGGUGCUGCUGCUGAUCAUCGAGGAGGCGGCUAGCGGCGCGCGGGCUGCCAUCUGGAACCCGGACCCGGGAGGCACGCGCUCGCUCACGUGACUGCGGCUCGGACACCAACGGCCGUUGCUCGCUCUCGCGCUGAGCCCCAUCCGUCAUCCCACCCUCUCUCUCUCCAUACAUCCAUCCAUCUAUCUCCUGCUGACGAUGGCAGGCUGUGGACUAAAUGAAGACCUCCUCUUCUCCUCGUUUGUCUUCAGCUACAUCAAGGAGAAUCCGUUCACUCAGCAGGUUCUUGGUUUGCAUCUCGAGUAUUGAAAGACUUUGCUAGUAAACAUGUAUUCUAAGAUGCACAAGCGCAAAAAUAAAAAAUUUUUUCUGCCUUUU